rnacentral:rRNA from 1 species
UACGUAGGUGGCAAGCGUUAUCCGGAUUUACUGGGUGUAAAGGGAGCGUAGACGGCUUUGCAAGCCAGAUGUGAAAGCCCGGGGCUCAACCUCGGGACUGCAUUUGGAACUGUAUGGCUGGAGUGUCGGAGAGGCAGGCGGAAUUCCUAGUGUAGCGGUGAAAUGCGUAGAUAUUAGGAGGAACACCAGUGGCGAAGGCGGCCUGCUGGACGAUGACUGACGUUGAGGCUCGAAAGCGUGGGGAGCAAACAGG